rnacentral:rRNA from 1 species
UACGUAGGGGGCAAGCGUUGUCCGGAUUUAUUGGGCGUAAAGAGCGUGUAGGCGGCCAUUCAGGUCAGCUGUGAAAACUCGAGGCUCAACCUCGAGACGUCGGUUGAAACCGUUUGGCUAGAGUCCGGAAGAGGAGAGUGGAAUUCCCGGUGUAGCGGUGAAAUGCGCAGAUAUCGGGAGGAACACCAGUGGCGAAGGCGAUCACCUGGGGUUGUUCUGACGCUGAGGAGCGAAAGCUAGGGGAGCAAACGGG